rnacentral:rRNA from 1 species
CCUACGGGAGGCAGCAGUGAGGAAUAUUGGUCAAUGGACGAGAGUCUGAACCAGCCAAGUAGCGUGAAGGAUGACUGCCCUAUGGGUUGUAAACUUCUUUUAUAUGGGAAUAAAAUGUUCCACGUGUGGGAUUUUGUAUGUACCAUAUGUAUAAGGAUCGGCUAACUCCGUGCCAGCAGCCGCGGUAAUACGGUGGAUACGAGCGUUAUCCGGAUUUAUUGGGUUUAAAGGGAGCGUAGGUGGAUUGUUAAGUCAGUUGUGAAAGUUUGCGGCUCAACCGUAAAAUUGCAUUUGAAACUGGCAGUCUUGAGUACAGUAGAGGUGAGCGGAAUUCGUGGUGUAGCGGUGAAAUGCUUAGAUAUCACGAAGAACACCGAUGGCGAAGGCAGCUCACUGGACUGCAACUGACACUGAGGCUCGAAAGUGUGGGUAGCAAACAGGAUUAGAUACCCCAGUAGUC